rnacentral:rRNA from 1 species
CCUACGGGAGGCAGCAGUGAGGAAUAUUGGUCAAUGGGCGCUAGCCUGAACCAGCCAAGUAGCGUGAAGGAUGACUGCCCUAUGGGUUGUAAACUUCUUUUAUAUGGGAAUAAAGUGCAGUAUGUAUACUGCUUUGCAUGUACCUUAUGAAUAAGGCUCGGCUAACUCCGUGCCAGCAGCCGCUGUAAUACGGAGGAUCCGCGCGUUAUCCGGAUUUAUUGGGUUUAAAGGGAGCGUAGGCGGGUUGUUAAGUCAGUUGUGAAAGUUUGCGGCUCAACCGUGAAAUUGCAGUUGAUACUGGCAUCCUUGAGUACAGUAGAGGUAGGCGGAAUUCGUGGUGUAGCGGUGAAAUGCUUAGAUAUCACGUAGAACUCCGAUUGCGAAGGCAGCCUGCUGGACUGUAACUGACGCUGAUGCUCGAAAGUGUGGGUAGCAAACAGGAUUAGAUACCCGUGUAGUC